ACUGCGAAGCGGAGCAAAACCCUAAAAAGACGGUCUCAGUUCGGAUUGAAGGCUGAAAUUCGCCUUCAUGAAGCUGGAAUUGCUAGUAAUGGCAGGUCAGCAUACUGCCGUGAAUACGUUCCCGGGCCUUGUACACACCGCCCGUCACACCAUGAGAGUUGGAAAUACCCGAAGCCUGUGAGCUAACAGUAAUGAGGCAGCAGUCGAAGGUAGAGCCAAUGAUUGGGGUGAAGUCGUAACAAGGUAUC
rnacentral:rRNA from 1 species